CCUGUACAUGGAAUUAGUAUUAAAAAUUAAUAAUUAAUUUCUUAACAAAAAUUAACUUUUGUUAAUUAAUUUAUUAAUUUCUUAAGAACUUUUGUUAAUUAAUUUGUCUCAGAAAGAAGAAAUUCUGGCUAAAUGGAAGAAUGGCAGAAAUCACAACAUUAAAGGAAUGACAUCCUGCAAGAAUCAAACAAUAUAUGAACUUGUUUGAUUCUUGACGGAUGAAUGUGUGAAAGUGGUUUCAGCAGACUCCUGCAAAAAGGAGGUUCCUAUAUCUGGAUCAAUCAUUCAAGAAAAAGCUUGAAUAUUCAAAUUCUGCAGGAAAUGAAUUUUUUAAAGCGAGCAAUGGAUGUGUUGUAAAGCUUUUGCAAAAGACACAUAAUCAUGUUUCAAGCAGUGUGUAGAGAGUAAAUCAACCCUGAAGAGGAUAUGCAGGAUUGGUUAUCACACAUGCCAUCAUCAUUGACAGUUUUAAUUUUAAAGAUGUUUUCAAUAUGGAUGAAACUGGUUUGUUUUUGUGUACUUCACACUAGAACAAUGAUGAUAGAGAAGUAUCAAACAAAUGAAUCACUGUACUGUUCUGUGUCAGUGCAAUUGGGGGAAGAAUAACGACUGAUCAUUAAUAAAGCUCUUUGUCCAUGUUGUUUCAAGCACAAUGAUUUUUCAAAAAUGGAGGUUGAAUGGCAUGCUAAUUCAUUUCAUUUGACAAGCUUAGAUGUCAAAUUAGAUGCUUGAUAUUACAGAACAGAAAUUUAACAAUCAUUUGAAAAAAGAAAACUGAUCCAUUCUCCUCUUAGACAAUAUGCUUUACCACAUUCCUGAUAAUCUUGAUCUCACCAAUGCUCAACUCCAAUUUCUUCUGCCAACAUGACAAACAAACUUCAGCUCUCAGAUCUAAGGAUCAUUCACAGUUUAAACUUCAUUACCAAUGUCAAUUUUUACAAAUACUUAUUGCAAAAUUGGAUGAAUCUAAAGAUGCAGCUGAUGUGGCCAAAAGAAUCACUAUUUCUGAUACUGUUUAUUGGAUGAAAACCUCGUGGUCAUCUUCAACUGCAUUGCCAUCAUGCUGCAUUAUCAUCAACCAUUGUGAAAUACUUUAUAAAAUGUGGAAUUAGAACUAAUUUGACCUCAAAUGCCAACAACAAUCAAAAAGAUGAUUUGCUUUUUGAAGUUAUGGAAUUGGGAAAUAACACUUGUUCAGGUUCAACAAGAACAAUAGUAUUGCACGCACAAUUUUCUUGAUUGCUAUCAACAAAAUUGUGCAAUACUAUGAAGUUGAAGAUGACCACUGGGAACAAGCUAAUGAAAAUAUCAUAAUAGAAGAAUGCAACAAUAACAAUGAUUCUGAAAAUACAGUAGAUGCAUCCAUAAAAUUCUCAGAUAACCAUUGCCUAAUCGUUACUAUAACAUUGUCUGGUUCAUGUACAGCACUGUUUGGC
rnacentral:lncRNA from 1 species